rfam:Haemonchus contortus, ISE/inbred ISE, WGS project CAVP01000000 data, contig: Hcontortus_contig_pathogens_Hcontortus_scaffold_10524
GGCCCAAAUUUGAAGAGGAUUAGAUUGGCAGGAUCAGCUGACCAUACUAAUCUACUCUACUUCACGUUUGUGCCC